UAAAGAGAUUGAGGAAAAAGAAGCU
rnacentral:piRNA from 2 species